rnacentral:rRNA from 1 species
AUUGAACGCUGGCGGCAGGCUUAACACAUGCAAGUCGAACGAUGAUUAUCUAGCUUGCUAGAUAUGAUUAGUGGCGGACGGGUGAGUAACAUUUAGGAAUCUGCCUAGUAGUGGGGGAUAGCUCGGGGAAACUCGAAUUAAUACCGCAUACGACCUACGGGUGAAAGGGGGCGCAAGCUCUUGCUAUUAGAUGAGCCUAAAUCAGAUUAGCUAGUUGGUGGGGUAAAGGCCCACCAAGGCGACGAUCUGUAACUGGUCUGAGAGGAUGAUCAGUCACACCGGAACUGAGACACGGUCCGGACUCCUACGGGAGGCAGCAGCGGGGAAUAUUGGACAAUGGGGGCAACCCUGAUCCAGCCAUGCCGCGUGUGUGAAGAAGGCCUUUUGGUUGUAAAGCACUUUAAGCAGGGAGGAGAGACUAAUGGUUAAUACCCAUUAGAUUAGACGUUACCUGCAGAAUAAGCACCGGCUAACUCUGUGCCAGCAGCCGCGGUAAUACAGAGGGUGCGAGCGUUAAUCGGAAUUACUGGGCGUAAAGCGAGUGUAGGUGGCUCAUUAAGUCACAUGUGAAAUCCCCGGGCUUAACCUGGGAACUGCAUGUGAUACUGGUGGUGCUAGAAUAUGUGAGAGGGAAGUAGAAUUCCAGGUGUAGCGGUGAAAUGCGUAGAGAUCUGGAGGAAUACCGAUGGCGAAGGCAGCUUCCUGGCAUAAUAUUGACACUGAGAUUCGAAAGCGUGGGUAGCAAACAGGAUUAGAUACCCUGGUAGUCCACGCCGUAAACGAUGUCUACUAGCCGUUGGGGUCCUUGAGACUUUAGUGGCGCAGUUAACGCGAUAAGUAGACCGCCUGGGGAGUACGGCCGCAAGGUUAAAACUCAAAUGAAUUGACGGGGGCCCGCACAAGCGGUGGAGCAUGUGGUUUAAUUCGAUGCAACGCGAAGAACCUUACCUGGUCUUGACAUAGUGAGAAUCCUGUAGAGAUGCGGGAGUGCCUUCGGGAAUUCACAUACAGGUGCUGCAUGGCUGUCGUCAGCUCGUGUCGUGAGAUGUUGGGUUAAGUCCCGCAACGAGCGCAACCCUUUUCCUUAUUUGCCUGCGGGUUAAGCCGGGAACUUUAAGGAUACUGCCAGUGACAAACUGGAGGAAGGUGGGGACGACGUCAAGUCAUCAUGGCCCUUACGACCAGGGCUACACACGUGCUACAAUGGUAGGUACAGAGGGUUGCUACACAGCGAUGUGAUGCUAAUCUCAAAAAGCCUAUCGUAGUCCGGAUUGGAGUCUGCAACUCGACUCCAUGAAGUCGGAAUCGCUAGUAAUCGCAGAUCAGAAUGCUGCGGUGAAUACGUUCCCGGGCCU